AUCAUUGUUAAUUCUGUUUUGAGGCCACUCCUCCAUUCUAUUAGUCCAUUUCAGCAUGUUGCCAUUGUGCUAAUUGUAUUGUGUGAUGGUGUUUGUCCCCACUAAUCCACAGGCCACUGAAUGGCUGGCCAAGAGUAAAAAUGUCCGUGUCAGCAGGAUGGCAUCUCUGUGCAGGCAGAGAUCUGAAACACACUUUAUUGUUUCUGCCAACAGCAAAGCUACAGCUUCUGCUUAAAAAAAAAAAAAAAAUUCCCAGAAACAGAUCAAUGUGGAACAAUUUUCACUUUUUUUCAAUUUAUAAUCAAGUUGAAUUGCAAAGGGAUGACAACCAGGAAAGAAGCCAAUCAGUGUGAUGCCGGGAUGGAAGAGGUGGCUUCAGGUCUGUUAGAGCUUUGCUCUUCUAUUUCUCCUCUUAAGCAAAAUAGUAUGAUUGGACAGGACGGUCAGGUAGAACAAUCAAAGACACCGCGAGAACAAGAGGAAGAACUUCUCCUUAGAGCCUGGAAAACCAUGUCCUUUGAUCCACAGCAGCAGCAGACAUUGUGUGAGGACCCCAAACCCCCAGGCCCGUCCCAGUCCUUCCUUUCCAAACAGAGGCAAUCAUCCCGCAGCAGGAGGUUGUUGCAACCCAGGUAGAAGCCUUCUCCUCCCUCCUGGCUUGCUAACAUGGACAUGCAUGUCCUCGUGGACACUGAAGAAAUCAAGGGCUUGUCUAUUUAUUUAUUUUUUUACUGUACAUUUACUUAGUGUGUUAUCGCCCUCUGCUGGUAAAGAAUCAAAUUCAUAUUCCUGUAUGUUGUGCUGUGAUCAAAUAUUCUAGAAAUAAGACUGUUCUAAAAUGUAUCAUAGUAAAC